GUGCUAGCAUUGGUAGCAUGUAUAUUAAAAUUUGAACAAGACAGAGAAGAUUACAUGAUCCUUGAGCAAGGAUGACAUGCAAAUUCAUGAAACAUUCCAUAUGUUU
ensembl:snRNA U6 U6 spliceosomal RNA